GUUAAUAUUCAUAAUAUGAAUAAUAUUUUAAUAAUAGAGAUGUGUUGUCCAAUAUUAAUUACUUGAACUCAAUCUUAUUUAUGCAUCUUCCAUAGGUGAAAGUAGCAUCAAUACAAGAGUGUUAUGGCAUGCAGACCCAAUUGAUGCUGGACCCACAGGGAGCUACGCUCCACAUUAACUUUACUGGGCUUCCAAGCUGUGUAUGAGAAGGAAAGACCAGAUAGUGAAAAUGAGAAGGAUUUGAGUGAAAAGUCUGAAAGUAAUGGAAAUUGGAUGUUGG
rnacentral:lncRNA from 12 species